rnacentral:rRNA from 1 species
CCUACGGGAGGCAGCAGUGGGGAAUAUUGCACAAUGGGGGAAACCCUGAUGCAGCGACGCCGCGUGAGUGAAGAAGUAUUUCGGUAUGUAAAGCUCUAUCAGCAGGGAAGAAAAUGACGGUACCUGAUUAAGAAGCCCCGGCUAACUACGUGCCAGCAGCCGCGGUCAUACGUAGGGGGCAAGCGUUAUCCGGAUUUACUGGGUGUAAAGGGAGCGUAGACGGCAGCACAAGUCUGGAGUGAAAUGCCGGGGCUUAACCCCGGAACUGCUUUGGAAACUGUGCAGCUAGAGUGCAGGAGAGGUAAGUGGAAUUCCUAGGGUAGCGGUGAAAUGCGUAGAUAUUAGGAGGAACACCAGUGGCGAAGGCGGCUUACUGGACUGUAACUGACGUUGAGGCUCGAAAGCGUGGGGAGCAAACAGGAUUAGAUACCCCAGUAGUC